CCUCUCCAUCAUCCAAUGCAUUCUUAGUGGGUAGAUCCAUGACAACCGGAAGGAAAAUAAACUUUAGGCUUUUGAAAAAAAGAAUAGUUCUCAACUGAACAAAAGAUUAAAGAACAAGGAUAGGAAUUUCUUUGCUCAUUGGACCUACCCACCUACCCAAAUCUGGUUCGAGAGUUCUACGACAGCCUUGUGGUUCGAAUGGAGUGAA
rnacentral:lncRNA from 1 species